GGGGCUGAAGCUCAGUGGUAGAGUGCCUGCCUUGCAAGUAUGAAGCACUGGUUCAAUCCUCAGCACUA
rnacentral:tRNA from 1 species